UGUCCUUGGAAGUGCACGCCAGUGUCUGUGGGGACUCGAGGGACAACUUCAUAAGCAGCCCUGUUCGGUCAGAGGAGCCACUAAAUGAGCUAUCAAGUGAGGAGGAUGUACUACGUUGGCUGGCAGGUCAGGUGGACACCACCAAGGAGUUUUGCAUCUGUGUUUCCAGGGUCAAUCUUCUUGAGCGGGGUCUGAUGCUGUGGCAGCCCCAAAAAAACAGUUCCCCAGUCAACUCCUUGAAGGUCACAUUCUUGGGAGAGGCUGGGGUAGACACGGGUGCAUUAAAAAAGAAUUUCUGACAGAGAUGGUUUCUGGCAUUGAGACUUGGCUUUUUGAGGGAGGGGAUGGAAAGGGUAAAAUGCCGAAAUACUCCCUAAAUGACCUUGACAAUGGCCUUUUCUGAGUUGCUGGGGAAAUAUUCGCUGCCAGCCUUGCACAGGGUGGCCCAGCACCAAAGUUUUUACAAGAAUGGUGCUACAAUUUUCUUUUGACUGGAAACCUAGAAAACAUUACCAGAGAUGAUGUAUAUGACCAGGAGUUUUCAUCAUUGAUCAAGAUGGUUGAAGAAACAUCCGACCUUUCAUCUUACACAGAACAAAUUGUCGAUUUUGGCUACACAGGACCCAUAAAGGAAGACAAGAAAGACAACAUAAUGAGGUUUAUAUCACAAUAUACUGUUUAACAUAACUUAUGGAGAAAGUCUGCUCACAUUAAUUUUCACCCCAUGGGCAGGCCUGGUCAAGGGAUCACUGUGUCAGUCGGGUGGUCUGUUAGUAUGUAUGUCUGUCUGUCUGUCUGUCCAUCUAAUACUUGCCCCCCCCCCCAAAAAAAAUUUAAUGGCAUGAAAUUUAGUCUGCACAGUACUUCUCAUUCUUGACCUCUUUGAUAUUGGUACUCGCUUGUAAUGCCACUAUCGGACCAAAAUGUUUUGCACACAACAUAUUCUGAAUUGUAUUUGAUUGGUAUAUUUGGUAAACAGAAUAAACUCCCCAAAGUCAAAUUUCUCUAUAAUUGUGUUGACAACAUGACCUUUCCACUGAGCACCACUCUCAGAC